rnacentral:lncRNA from 1 species
GCUUCAGAUUGCUAAUUCCAUCACCAACUUUGUAGGAGACGAACAGGUGGUCUGACAUGAUGUUGAUCCAAGACAUGAAGAACCGUGCACAGGUUGGACAUGGUAGGUAGAGAUACAGAGGUAGCAGCUCCAGCUUAGCAUUGCUCGCUUUUACUCUGGGUGUUGAUGACCAUAUAUGGAAGGUAAUAAGCUGAGCUUUAAUGCUAGAUGAUGUAACUUUUUAGUAAGUAUUAAAAAUGGAAAAUAUAUAUAGGCACCGAAUUGCUCCAUGCCCAUGGAGGGUUUAGCCGCCGC